AACUCGCACCUGUGUCCAAAGUUUGACUCUUGAGUCAGAAUGAUAAGGCAUUUCGCAAGCUUGAAUCCCUAGAAAGCAGAACUGCAGUUCGUAAGUUUGCUCUUACUUCUUUAUUCAAUUCUUUUCCCACUUCAUUGCCUUCUAUUCCUCUUUUAUUCUUUCUAAUGUAAUAUCAUAAGCAUCCAAUGCAGCUUCUUCUGCGAACUCUUCUGCUGCAGCAGAUUCAUUCUGAUCCUUUAGAUCCGCUCUCUCUUUCUCUGGCUCCCUUACUUGAAAGCUUUUAGUCGAUCUACUCAGUCAAAGAGUUUUUUCAACUCCGAUCCUUUCAGCCCUAGUUUCGCUCUAAGCCAAGGCCUUUAGUCGAUCUGGUUCUUAGUAUCCUUCCUCUUUAGUCUAGCUGACAGCUUUUCCCCUUGACUCGCCUGCUUUGGGAAGUCAAUAUUCUAUA
rnacentral:lncRNA from 1 species